GACGAACGCUGGCGGCGUGCUUAACACAUGCAAGUCGAACGGUGAAGCGCCUUCCUUUUUGGUGGGUGUGGAUGAGUGGCGAACGGGUGAGUAACACGUGAGUAACCUGCCCCCUUCUUCUGGAUAACCGCAUGAAAGUGUGGCUAAUACGGGAUAUUCUGGGUCUGUCGCAUGAUGGGUCUGGGAAAGAUAUUGUUUCGGUGGGGGAUGGGCUCGCGGCCUAUCAGCUUGUUGGUGGGGUGAUGGCCUACCAAGGCGGUGACGGGUAGCCGGCCUGAGAGGGUGGACGGUCACACUGGGACUGAGACACGGCCCAGACUCCUGCGGGAGGCAGCAGUGGGGAAUAUUGCACAAUGGGCGCAAGGCUGAUGCAGCGACGCCGCGUGAGGGAUGGAGGCCUUCGGGUUGUGAACCUCUUUCGCCAGUGAAGCAGGCCUGCCUCGUUUGUGGGUGGGUUGACGGUAGCUGGAGAAGAAGCGCCGGCUAACUACGUG
rnacentral:rRNA from 1 species